GUUCGAGAUCGAGUACCAGAUAAACGCCACACGUCGCAUAGAAUCCUGAGUGCUUCAGUGCAUUUAUUCCCGAUACCAUCUAUUUUUCCUCCAUCAUGAAGACGGCCAUUUUGUGUGGAGGCGAGGAAGGAAUAGGAGGUCGGCUCUCACUCCAGGUCAAGACAGCUGCGUCGCUCUCUGGAGGCUGUCGGUGAUGUCUCGUCUCGGUAGCAGGGAGCCGGAGAUGCUAACGUUGUGAUGGAGCAGCAGCUGAACAUGGCGACAAGAUGGAAUGAAGUAGAAGCCCAAGGUAGAGGAGGAUCAGGCGAUUGUGCAUCCGUGUAUGUUACUUAGCAGAUGGACACUCAAACACAUUGCUGCCACCACUAUCUCCUUGAUCACACCCCAGUGGAGACGAUGGCGAUCGAUUGACUGACGACUCUUGCGGUUUGCUGUUUCGAGGUUUCCUGGUUCGCAGCCCAGCACGUGCAGACGACGACCACCACCAUUCUCUUGCUUGCUUGCUUCUUCUCUCUGUGGCUGUUGUCCAAGGUUUCCUGGUUCGCAGUGCAUCCUCUUCCUUCUCUAGAUCCAGAGGCAGACUCUGAGGUUAGAGGAGCUGGGUGCUGUGGUCGAGAAUGAGGCACCAAUUCCAUCUCUGCAUUCUUGGGUGUUUGGAUGUGUUCCCCUUAAGGGAGUAACUCCACGCCUGAUUUGUGGUCCUAACGCCGAUGUCCAUUUUCAUCAAUCUUCCUUUCCCUUCUUCCCUUUGGUCUUUCAUUUCCGCCGCUGGUUGUCCCCGCCGGUAGCGGUCGUUCACCACAAUGUCCGUUUCAGCUCUUCUACCACGUUAUUAAUUUCCGUAGAGCUUCACUUUCUAGCCACUCAUCAUUAGUCUUCCUCCUGGAAAGGCAAGAACAUUGUACUUUUCGACAGAAGGAACGGUUGGUUUAUUUAGUCGAGAUUUCUUAGACUAAGGAUUAAAAACUUUUGUUUAUUA